rnacentral:rRNA from 1 species
UUAAGCGACUAAGCGUACACGGUGGAUGCCCUGGCAGUCAGAGGCGAUGAAGGACGUGCUAAUCUGCGAUAAGCGUCGGUAAGGUGAUAUGAACCGUUAUAACCGGCGAUUUCCGAAUGGGGAAACCCAGUGUGUUUCGACACACUAUCAUUAACUGAAUCCAUAGGUUAAUGAGGCGAACCGGGGGAACUGAAACAUCUAAGUACCCCGAGGAAAAGAAAUCAACCGAGAUUCCCCCAGUAGCGGCGAGCGAACGGGGAGGAGCCCAGAGCCUGAAUCAGUGUGUGUGUUAGUGGAAGCGUCUGGAAAGGCGCGCGAUACAGGGUGACAGCCCCGUACACAAAAAUGCACAUACUGUGAGCUCGAUGAGUAGGGCGGGACACGUGGUAUCCUGUCUGAAUAUGGGGGGACCAUCCUCCAAGGCUAAAUACUCCUGACUGACCGAUAGUGAACCAGUACCGUGAGGGAAAGGCGAAAAGAACCCCGGCGAGGGGAGUGAAAAAGAACCUGAAACCGUGUACGUACAAGCAGUGGGAGCCUCUUUAUGGGGUGACUGCGUACCUUUUGUAUAAUGGGUCAGCGACUUAUAUUCUGUAGCAAGGUUAACCGAAUAGGGGAGCCGAAGGGAAACCGAGUCUUAACUGGGCGUUAAGUUGCAGGGUAUAGACCCGAAACCCGGUGAUCUAGCCAUGGGCAGGUUGAAGGUUGGGUAACACUAACUGGAGGACCGAACCGACUAAUGUUGAAAAAUUAGCGGAUGACUUGUGGCUGGGGGUGAAAGGCCAAUCAAACCGGGAGAUAGCUGGUUCUCCCCGAAAGCUAUUUAGGUAGCGCCUCGUGAAUUCAUCUCCGGGGGUAGAGCACUGUUUCGGCAAGGGGGUCAUCCCGACUUACCAACCCGAUGCAAACUGCGAAUACCGGAGAAUGUUAUCACGGGAGACACACGGCGGGUGCUAACGUCCGUCGUGAAGAGGGAAACAACCCAGACCGCCAGCUAAGGUCCCAAAGUCAUGGUUAAGUGGGAAACGAUGUGGGAAGGCCCAGACAGCCAGGAUGUUGGCUUAGAAGCAGCCAUCAUUUAAAGAAAGCGUAAUAGCUCACUGGUCGAGUCGGCCUGCGCGGAAGAUGUAACGGGGCUAAACCAUGCACCGAAGCUGCGGCAGCGACGCUUAUGCGUUGUUGGGUAGGGGAGCGUUCUGUAAGCCUGUGAAGGUGUACUGUGAGGUAUGCUGGAGGUAUCAGAAGUGCGAAUGCUGACAUAAGUAACGAUAAAGCGGGUGAAAAGCCCGCUCGCCGGAAGACCAAGGGUUCCUGUCCAACGUUAAUCGGGGCAGGGUGAGUCGACCCCUAAGGCGAGGCCGAAAGGCGUAGUCGAUGGGAAACAGGUUAAUAUUCCUGUACUUGGUGUUACUGCGAAGGGGGGACGGAGAAGGCUAUGUUGGCCGGGCGACGGUUGUCCCGGUUUAAGCGUGUAGGCUGGUUUUCCAGGCAAAUCCGGAAAAUCAAGGCUGAGGCGUGAUGACGAGGCACUACGGUGCUGAAGCAACAAAUGCCCUGCUUCCAGGAAAAGCCUCUAAGCAUCAGGUAACAUCAAAUCGUACCCCAAACCGACACAGGUGGUCAGGUAGAGAAUACCAAGGCGCUUGAGAGAACUCGGGUGAAGGAACUAGGCAAAAUGGUGCCGUAACUUCGGGAGAAGGCACGCUGAUAUGUAGGUGAAGCGACUUGCUCGUGGAGCUGAAAUCAGUCGAAGAUACCAGCUGGCUGCAACUGUUUAUUAAAAACACAGCACUGUGCAAACACGAAAGUGGACGUAUACGGUGUGACGCCUGCCCGGUGCCGGAAGGUUAAUUGAUGGGGUUAGCGGUAACGCGAAGCUCUUGAUCGAAGCCCCGGUAAACGGCGGCCGUAACUAUAACGGUCCUAAGGUAGCGAAAUUCCUUGUCGGGUAAGUUCCGACCUGCACGAAUGGCGUAAUGAUGGCCAGGCUGUCUCCACCCGAGACUCAGUGAAAUUGAACUCGCUGUGAAGAUGCAGUGUACCCGCGGCAAGACGGAAAGACCCCGUGAACCUUUACUAUAGCUUGACACUGAACAUUGAGCCUUGAUGUGUAGGAUAGGUGGGAGGCUUUGAAGUGUGGACGCCAGUCUGCAUGGAGCCGGCCUUGAAAUACCACCCUUUAAUGUUUGAUGUUCUAACGUUGGCCCCUGAUCGGGGUUGCGGACAGUGUCUGGUGGGUAGUUUGACUGGGGCGGUCUCCUCCUAAAGAGUAACGGAGGAGCACGAAGGUUGGCUAAUCCUGGUCGGACAUCAGGAGGUUAGUGCAAUGGCAUAAGCCAGCUUGACUGCGAGCGUGACGGCGCGAGCAGGUGCGAAAGCAGGUCAUAGUGAUCCGGUGGUUCUGAAUGGAAGGGCCAUCGCUCAACGGAUAAAAGGUACUCCGGGGAUAACAGGCUGAUACCGCCCAAGAGUUCAUAUCGACGGCGGUGUUUGGCACCUCGAUGUCGGCUCAUCACAUCCUGGGGCUGAAGUAGGUCCCAAGGGUAUGGCUGUUCGCCAUUUAAAGUGGUACGCGAGCUGGGUUUAGAACGUCGUGAGACAGUUCGGUCCCUAUCUGCCGUGGGCGCUGGAGAACUGAGGGGGGCUGCUCCUAGUACGAGAGGACCGGAGUGGACGCAUCACUGGUGUUCGGGUUGUCAUGCCAAUGGCACUGCCCGGUAGCUAAAUGCGGAAGAGAUAAGUGCUGAAAGCAUCUAAGCACGAAACUUGCCCCGAGAUGAGUUCUCCCUGAGACUUUAAGUCUCCUGAAGGAACGUUGAAGACGACGACGUUGAUAGGCCGGGUGUGUAAGCGCAGCGAUGCGUUGAGCUAACCGGUACUAAUGAACCGUGAGGCUUAACCUU